rnacentral:rRNA from 1 species
AGGACGAACGCUGGCGGCGUGCUUAACACAUGCAAGUCGAGCGGAAAGGCCCUUCGGGGUACUCGAGCGGCGAACGGGUGAGUAACACGUGAGUAAUCUGCCCCUAGCUCUGGGAUAGCUCCGGGAAACCGGGAUUAAUACCAGAUACGACCACUUUAGACAUCUUCUGUGGUGGAAAGAACUUCGGCUAGGGAUGAACUCGCGGCCUAUCAGCUUGUUGGUGAGGUAACGGCUCACCAAGGCGACGACGGGUAGCCGGCCUGAGAGGGCGACCGGCCACACUGGGACUGAGACACGGCCCAGACUCCUACGGGAGGCAGCAGUGGGGAAUAUUGCGCAAUGGGCGAAAGCCUGACGCAGCGACGCCGCGUGGGGGAUGAAGGCCUUCGGGUUGUAAACCCCUUUCAGCAGAGACGAAGCGAAAGUGACGGUACCUGCAGAAGAAGCGCCGGCUAACUACGCGCCAGCAGCCGC